rnacentral:misc_RNA from 1 species
GAACGCACAUUGCGCCCCUUGGUAUUCCGAGGGGCAUGCCUAUUCGAGCGUCAUUAUCACCCCUCAAGCCUAGCUUGGUGUUGAGACCUGCUGUCAAGGCAGUCUCUAAAAUCAGUGGCAGUGCUGUCAGGCUCUAAGCGUAGUAAAUUCAUCGCUAUAGACACCUGGUGGCCACUCGCCAGAACCCCCCCAUUUUUUAAUGAUUGACCUCGGAUUAGGUAGGGAUACCCGCUGAACUUAAG